rnacentral:rRNA from 1 species
AGAGUUUGAUCCUGGCUCAGGAUGAACGCUAGCGGCAGGCUUAACACAUGCAAGUCGAGGGGUAGGAGCAGCUUGCUGCUUUGAGACCGGCGCACGGGUGCGUAACGCGUAUACAAUCUACCUUUUACAGAGGGAUAGCCCAGAGAAAUUUGGAUUAAUACCUCAUAGUAUUUUCGAAUCGCAUGAUUUGAUUAUUAAAGUUCCAACGGUAAAAGAUGAGUAUGCGUCCCAUUAGCUAGAUGGUAAGGUAACGGCUUACCAUGGCUACGAUGGGUAGGGGUCCUGAGAGGGAGAUCCCCCACACUGGUACUGAGACACGGACCAGACUCCUACGGGAGGCAGCAGUGAGGAAUAUUGGACAAUGGGCGCAAGCCUGAUCCAGCCAUGCCGCGUGCAGGAAGAAGGUCCUAUGGAUUGUAAACUGCUUUUAUACAGGAAGAA